rnacentral:pre_miRNA from 1 species
AAGGGGUCCGCAUCCUGGGCUGUGUCCCUGGCGCCCAGUACUCCCCGCCCGGCGCUGUUGGAUUCGUGCUCCCGGCCGCCCAGCCCCCU